AUCUAAAUAGUUUAAGUGGAAAAUAUUGGUUUGUGGUGCCGAUGAUAUAAUUUUUUAUUUUAGAUU
rnacentral:tRNA from 1 species